rnacentral:lncRNA from 1 species
ACAAAUAUAGACCAAGUAAGCCCAAAUAGUCAUCGGACAGAGUAUUUAAAAUAACGAAGAUACACAUGCAAGGUAAAAGAGUGGCGAGUUAAAAAAUAAUAAAAUCUCAUUCAUAUUAGCUAGUCCAACUUCAUGACUUCUAAUUUAUUCAAAUUCGGAAAUAGUGAAACUCCUACCAUCUCUAGUCGUAAUUUCUUCCAAAGCAAAAUAAUCAUGUAAUAUGUCAAUAUAUAUGCAAUGUUUAGUUUUUUUGAUUCCUUUUGGGAUCACUAAUUAAAAUCUAAAGGUAAAUAUUUAUAUUGCAGAAGUAUUCAUCCAAAAGCAUUGUCUUGCUGAAAUUGAACAAUACGCCAAACACGAUAUUUCAACAACUAUUCAAAUGAGAAUACCAUAUCUUUCGCUUAAUUUAUUUCUUCCUUCCUUUUUCACAUGCGAACUCGAUUAUCUCAGAUUAAGAAUAUGAAACAACACUUACAACACAUGAUUAAUUUCAAAGAAAAUGGAGGUACAUGUCUAUUUCAAAUGUUCAACAAUCAAGCCAACUGAUCUUGAGAAUUGCAACACAACUAAUCAUUGAUGUAGUGCUUUUUAAAUUGUUAACUGCUUCCUUAGGCUAAUUCUACUGUCCGUAACAAUUAAGCCAAAUAAUGUGCAAUUUGCAACCUCAAACUAUUUAACACUAAACAAUCGUGAAUUAAUGCCAACAUGGAACCCAUAAAGUAAUUUAACAACCCAAGCGCAGAAGUUCAGGAAGUUCAAAGAUAGUUUUGGAAAUUUCAAACUAACAGUAUGUGCAAAAUGGUCAUGGAAUCAGGGAAAAGGAAACUAUCCAGUGAUUCAUGUAGAACUUGAGGCCAAUACAAUAGGCUUAAGCAAAUCACUAUAAUUAGCAGAACAUAUUGCAAAGAGAAUAACAAAAAGAGACUGAACACAUGUUGUUACUUCAAUAAAGUAGGAAAAAGGGGAAAGGGGAAAAAGACUUAAACACAUACGGAAUAAGUUAAGCCUUUUAUGCACCUAUUCAAGGGAUGAACCUGACCAUUUAAAGGGUCAGAUUCACUGUCCUUUGGUACUGCUAUAAGAAACUAAUUUGGAUAUAGCUUCAUGGGUAUAUACAUUGAUUCAGAACUUGUACUACCAUGGACAUACUACUAGCAACACCUUAUAGUCUUAGGACACAUUUAUACUUAUGCCUUGUUCUUAAACAGCCCAGAAUAUCAAAAGAAAUUUCUCAAACAAGAGAGAGCAGAUGAGGGGUAGUAAUGUCAAAAAGAAAUGUUCAUUUCAAAAUCACUCGCAACUUUACAUGAUUACUACAUCACAACUAACACAAAAAGCAUGAAGUAGUGCAAAGGUGAAACCAACCACAUAUGGUAGUCUAGCGUGUGUACCUUCAGCAGCAAAAUAAACAAUAAAAUUUCUUCUAAAACUGGAGUUCAGCAGCAGAUACCAGCAGCAACCAGACCAAAAAAGGUAUAGGGAUUCAAAUAACAACCCAAAAAUCAACUUGGAACCAAGGAAACCAGCUAGAGAAGCUAGAAAAAUCUUCUAUUCAAACCAUGUUUUUCACUUGUAAAGCAAUAGUAGAUUUCUGAUAUUUUUAAAGCUAUUUUGAGUCUCAAAGUUUUUAGAGAGAUGAAUGGAACUUUUUCAGAGAAAAUUGCUGAUCAAAAUCUGCCUCUUUGUGUGAGUAAGUGCCUUCUAUAUAUAGAGCAUCCAAAAAAGGCAUCAAAGAAGGAAUAUGCUACCCUAAAUUUGGAAUUCCCUCAAUGGUACAAUCCUUUUGCUUACAGCUGUCCGUCCUUUUCCCCCCAAUAUCAUAAUUCUAGCACAAGGAUAGGGAAAAUUCACAAAUCAAG